CCCUAGAUUGACUGCCUACUCCCAAGAGGAAGCGUGGGCAGGCGGUGUUCGGCAAAAUGGGCUCUCCGGCAGCGGAUCUGUGCAGAACCGUUCCCUGCGUACAAGUGCUGCUAACCACGUGGGGCCCGGGCGCCUUUCGGGUGCUGGAGGCUGCAGCCAGAGUUCAAAGCCAAGCAGCUGGAGGGGACCAUGGCCAACUGUGAGCGUACCUUCAUUGCGAUCAAACCAGAUGGGGUCCAGCGGGGUCUUGUGGGAGAGAUUAUCAAGCGUUUUGAGCAGAAGGGAUUCCGCCUUGUUGGUCUGAAAUUCAUGCAAGCUUCUGAAGACCUUCUCAAGGAACACUACAUCGACCUGAAGGACCGUCCAUUCUUUGCUGGCCUGGUGAAAUACAUGCACUCAGGGCCGGUAGUUGCCAUGUUGCCAGAUUUUCUGCUGAGAUUGGUUUUCUUCCUUGACCAUAUCUUCUUCUGUCCUUGGAGGUCUGGGAGGGGCUGAACGUGGUGAAGACAGGCCGAGUCAUGCUCGGAGAGACCAAUCCUGCAGACUCCAAGCCUGGGACCAUCCGUGGAGACUUCUGCAUACAAGUCGGCAGGAACAUUAUACACGGCAGCGAUUCCGUGGAGAGUGCAGAGAAGGAGAUCGGCUUGUGGUUUCACCCUGAGGAACUGGUAGAUUACAAGAGCUGUGCUCAGAACUGGAUCUAUGAAUGACCAGACGGCAGACCACAAUGCUUUUCACAUUCAUUUCCCCUCCUUCCCACCGGCAGAGGACCAGGCUGUAGGAAAUCUAGUUAUUUACAGGAGCUUCUUCAUAAUUUGAAGGGAAACUCUUGGAGCUGUGAGUGCUCCCUGUACAGUGUUACCAUCCCCUACCUUGGAUUAAAAUGCGUCCUCCCAACAGAGGAUUCAUGGAGUU